GUGGCCCGUUCCAUCGUGAAAAAGUCUUCCAUCAAAGUGUCUCUGCUUCCCUCUGUAACUCGCCGAUAUCCCCCACGACCUCCCCCUCUUUGUCGAAGUCAACGGUGCUGCUAUCGAUCGAUCGCGGUGGCCUUUGUCGUUCGCGUAUCCUCAAAUCCGUUUCGGUUUUAAACGAACGUACCCGGUUCUCUCGAGCAGGCACAAGCGGACAAACGAAACAGUGUGCUGCGGUCCUGGUCGUUUCUGAGUAGGCGUUCUCCAAGGAAUUUCAAACAAUUAAAGCGACUCUAAAUCAUGACUUCGCCAGACGUGGCGAAACAUGGCGCAACGAGAGGUCCGUGCACCUAGUAUCAAGCAGCUAGUCGCUCGUAAGCAGGAAAUUACACGAUCCCUCCCGGCGCCAAACUAUUUCCAUUUGCCAAAGUUGCACGUGGCAAAGGUUAACGAGGCCAAACGAUCUGGUCGGUCUGGCGAAUGAAUUCUUCAUUAGAGGAAACGGGACAGCGGCUCGAUAGUGGCUCGACCUCGAAAAACCAACGUGACUGUGCUCGAUUUUUCUGCCGCCGGCCAGGGAGAGAAAUUUCAUACGGCGUCCAGGUGAUUCAAGGAGCGAAUGCAACCCCGUACGUGGAACUCGUAGUACACGCGUUUGAUGGGACAGACGCCAUGAGGAUCAGUAAGGUGGAAACCGAUGAAGCCGGGAUAUAAAGUCCAAUAACAAGGAAAGAAGAACGUUUAGAAGGAAGGGGAACGAAACAGGGUCACGUAAAAAUAGGGAAAGAGAGCGAGGAGGACUGAAACCGUUGGGAAAGAAGAAAAAAUAAGAAGAAGGGACGUGAAAGGGUUAGUAAGAGGGAAACGAAAAAACGGAGGGAUGGAAGAAGGAGAGAGAGGCAGCGAUGAAAUGAAAAAAGAGAGAGGAUACUACGGUUCGAGGGAAAGAAAAUGAAUGGAGGAAAAGGGGGACAGAGAAUGAGAUAGAAAGAGAAGGAGUAAGGCAGACUGAUAGUUCGGAAGGAAAACGAGAGAAACCAAGCAUGAAAAAAAGAGAGAAAAAGAGAGAGAGAAAGAGUUAAAGGUGAGCAUGAGAGAAAAAGAGACGACGAUGGAAAAUGAGGGAAUGAUAAUUAGAGAAAGCGAGUGAGUGAAGAGAGAGAGAGAGAGGAAGCUGGAGUUCCUGUCGCUCGAUAACGCCUCUGCUUCUGCUCCGUCAUCAGCACCUCUUCUUUCUCUCUCUCUCUUUCUCUUUCUCUCCUUCGUUCUCUUAGAUUUUAGAUUCUCGUUUGAGAAUUUUAAUAUUCGCGAACAAUUAAAAUUGUAAA